ACAUAGUUUGCUUAAUCAGAUGGGAAUACUCAAACAAAUAGGUGAGUGUGAGUUGUCAAGUCCUAUUAUGAAAAAGAUAAAGAUAAAUUAGAAAAAGAAAAAGCAAUGUAACAGGGGAGGGUGAUAGACAGGCCAGGCCAUCUAACAUGGUUAGUUAGCUAGCCCUCUAUAUAUGAAUAUAGUAUAUGAUUUGGUUCACCACUCCUUCUGUCCCUUUUAACUCCUCCAUCAAGCUUCUCAAAUCUUCUGCAUCAAACUCCAGUUCAGUCCUUGGAGUUGGAGAAGGCAUCAGGAAACAUGGCAAGCGAAGCACCAAGUUGGGCUGAUCAAUGGGGUGCUGGUGGUAUUGGUGCCAUGGAAGCUGAUGACACAAUAUCACAAAAGGAAACCGGCAAGAACAAGAGUUCAGGUUCAAAGGGUGCUUUCGGCAAAGUCAAAGCAACUGCCUCAAAUUGUGUCAAAUGGUUAAAAAGUUUGUGCAAGAGAAAGAGUACAACCAAGUAAACCAGAGGAUGUACUGUGUGUGUGUGCACUUGUAAUUCAGCACCAUGGCAGAUACCAGUUUUGUAACCUUAUUUUUUUCUUUUAAUGAUUUGGUGUUUCAGUCACUUAAGCUCGAACUGAUUCUAGAGGAAGAUGCUAUUUAAAGUUAGUAUUAGUGGGUCACUCGCUCACUAUUUUGCCGAA